UUCUGUGUGUGUGUUCCUUUCUCUGCAUCCAAUGAAGUGCGCUGUAGCCCACAAAAGUUUAUGCUCAAAUAAAUGUGUUAGUCUCUAAGGUGCCACAAGGACUCCUGU